rnacentral:misc_RNA from 1 species
GAUGAAGAACGCAGUGAAAUGCGAUAAGUAAUGUGAAUUGCAGAAUUCAGUGAAUCAUCGAAUCUUUGAACGCACAUUGCGCCCGCCAGUAUUCUGGCGGGCAUGCCUGUUCGAGCGUCAUUACAACCCUCAGGCCCCCGGGCCUGGCGUUGGGGAUCGGCGGAGCCCCCCGUGGGCACACGCCGUCCCCCAAAUGCAGUGGCGGUCCCGCCGCAGCUUCCAUCGCGUAGUAGCUAACACCUCGCGACUGGAGAGCGGCGCGGCCACGCCGUAAAACACCCAACUCUUCUGAAGUUGACCUCGAAUCAGGUAGGAAUACCCGCUGAACUUAAGCAUAUAUAAGCGGAGGA